rnacentral:rRNA from 1 species
AGAUUGAACGCUGGCGGCAUGCCUUACACAUGCAAGUCGAACGGCAGCACGGGAGCAAUCCUGGUGGCGAGUGGCGAACGGGUGAGUAAUGUAUCGGAACGUGCCCAGUCGUGGGGGAUAACGCAGCGAAAGCUGCGCUAAUACCGCAUACGAUCUAUGGAUGAAGCGGGGACUAAGGCCUCGCGCGAUUGGAGCGGCCGAUAUCGAGAAUUAGGUAGUUGGUAGGGGUAAAGGCUCACCAAGCCAACGAUCUGUAGCUGGUCUGAGAGGACGACCAGGCCACACUAGGGACUGAGACCGACGGCCCAGACGUCCGUACGGGAGGACC